GAUGAACGCUGGCGGCGUGCCUAAUACAUGCAAGUCGAGCGAACGGACGAGAAGCUUGCUUCUCUGAUGUUAGCGGCGGACGGGUGAGUAACACGUGGAUAACCUACCUAUAAGACUGGGAUAACUUCGGGAAACCGGAGCUAAUACCGGAUAAUAUUUUGAACCGCAUGGUUCAAAAGUGAAAGACGGUCUUGCUGUCACUUAUAGAUGGAUCCGCGCUGCAUUAGCUAGUUGGUAAGGUAACGGCUUACCAAGGCAACGAUGCAUAGCCGACCUGAGAGGGUGAGCGGCCACACUGGAACUGAGACACGGUCCAGACUCCUACGGGAGGCAGCAGUAGGGAAUCUUCCGCAAUGGGCAAAAGCCUGACGGAGCAACGCCGCGUGAGUGAUGAAGGUCUUCGGAUCGUAAAACUCUGUUAUUAGGGAAGAACAUAUGUGUAAGUAACUGUGCACAUCUUGACGGUACCUAAUCAGAAAGCCACGGCUAACUACGUG
rnacentral:rRNA from 1 species